CAGCAGCCGCGGUAAUACGGAGGGGGCUAGCGUUGUUCGGAAUUACUGGGCGUAAAGCGCACGUAGGCUGCUUUGUAAGUUAGAGGUGAAAGCCUGGAGCUCAACUCCAGAAUUGCCUUUAAGACUGCCGAGCUAGAACGUCGGAGAGGUGAGUGGAAUUCCGAGUGUAGAGGUGAAAUUCGUAGAUAUUCGGAAGAACACCAGUGGCGAAGGCGGCUCACUGGACGACUGUUGACGCUGAGGUGCGAAAGCGUGGGGAGCAAACAGGAUUAGAUACCCGAGUAGUCCCUGUCUCUUAUAC
rnacentral:rRNA from 1 species